UCUUCCUUCCCUGAGUUCAUUGUAGAAAUUAGGUGUAUUUUCCAUAAAUAGUCCCCUUCUGAAAAAUAUUUGGAAGCAGGCCGGGACAAGAUUCUGCACUGCGCAUAGUUUUUAAGCCCGAACGAAAAUCUGCCCAACCCAUAAAUCGCAUUGAUUUCUGCAUAAUUUGGGAUUUGCGUUUUGGGUUGGGUUGUGGAGGGAGGAAGAAUUUCAUUCGGAUAUCAUGUAUGGUAGCUUGGCUACAAUCGAAUUGGAGCAAAAUCAGAACUGAAGGGAGGAAAGAUUUCAUUUUUCUUUUUGGGGCUUUUUUUUUUAAUUUCUUUUUGAAUUGACAAAAUCCUACCAAUUAUUGUAUCUGAUAUCCAAAAAA
rnacentral:misc_RNA from 1 species